GGGCUUGCCUCCUCCUGCGUCCUGCUAGCUAUUUUUAAAUGUGAGCUCUAUUUUGUUCCAAGAUCAUUAGGAUAUUUAGCCCCUUCACCAAUUUCCACAAGAAAAUUAAUUCAUUCCAAUAUUCAGAGGUUCCUUUUUUAUUUCUUAGCCAGUGAUUAAGGAAUCCAUUAUGUAACCCAGAGCCAUUCUCUCUACUCUUUUCUUAAUUUUUCCUUCUAAAAUGGGGAGUUCCAUUUUCUUAAUUUUUCAUUCUAAAUUGGGGAGUUCCAAAUUUUUUUUCUCUCUCUCUCUUAGGCAAAGCAGUUCAUGUCCUUCCUGGAAGUUUUAGUAUCUGCCAGUACUGAUGCCCAGUUUGCAUUUUAAAAGCUCCUUCUAGCUGCUAGAUGCUGAAAAGACUGAAAGGAGGCAAGGGGAUAGGCAAAGGGACCAGUAUCAGGUUAUUUUAGGAGAUGAUGGUGGCUUGAACCAGGUAGUGGCAAAGCUCGUAAAGACAAGUGCAUGAAUAGGAAUAUUUUGGAGGAGAUGCUGCAGUACUUGCUUAUAGAUUGGAUUGUAGGUGACCAGUUUGAAAUUCAGCUAAACCAGCAGCUAUGGUCCCUCAUCCCCAACAACGAUGUGAGAAGGCUUGUUUCUCAUGUUAUCCGGACCUUGAAGACGGACUGCACUGAGACCCAUUUGCAACUGGCCUGUGCCAAGCUCAUCUCUAGGACAGGCCUCCUAAUGAAGCUUCUCAGUGAGCAGCAAGAAUUGAGAACUGUAUCAAUGACAGCAUGGAAGCCCAGAAUGAACAGAAAGAGCAGAAGUCGAAUGAGGUCCUGAUAUGGAAGAAACUACUGAUGUCAGCUGAAGGACCACACUGAUGCAGCUGUCCUGAAGGACUCCCCGAGGAGCUACCUCAUCAAAAAAUACAGUUUCCACUUUGCGAUGAUUUUAUCCCCCUUGCCCCAACCGACCAGCAACCCCAAUUUUCCAGCCCCUCACUCUCCACAAUCCUCUUAAAGCCCCAGGCCAGAACUUCUUGGGAGACAGAUUUGAGGGUUUCCUUCCACUUCCUUGCUGGGUGGCCUGUGAUCAUUAAACUCUUUCUUUGCUGCA
ensembl:lncRNA LRRC37A5P leucine rich repeat containing 37 member A5, pseudogene